GCUAAAUUUUAAGCAAAUUUUAUUACGCGUAUUUUAAAUUUUAAUAAGUUUUUUUUAAAAUAAGAUAUGAAUACUGAAAGUCGAGCUGAAUUAAGAAGACAACACGUUGAACCACAAACUUCUGAAGCGUUUUAUGAUGCUGCUCCUGAACGACCACCUCUUGGUACUAGUCCCGUGGAAAUGACUUGUCCAGGUUGCCACAAUAAAAUAAAAACCGAAGUUACUUUCAGAUAUAAAUUCGCAACUCAUUUUAUUGCAAUUGUUUUAUGUUUAAUUGGUUGUCCUAUUUGCGCUUGCAUUCUGUACUGUACACCUUGCGUCCGUAAAACCAUACACUAUUGUCCUUUAUGUGAAAAAUUCUUAGGUACCGGCAAUACUCGAAAUUUGGAUCAUUGAAAAUUGUUAGGAUCUUAUACCGUCGUAAUUCAGGAAAAGUGUUUGGAUUAAAAUCAAGUAAAUAAUUGAAACGACAAAGCAAAACGAUUUAAAUUAAAUAGUGUUAACUUUGGCGUCACCAUUUGAAGUCAAUGAUACAAUUCCUUCUAAAAUAUGAAUCAUCCUUAACUGCUGUAUUGAAUAAGCCCAACGUCAGACACCAACAACUAAUGACGUACUAUUUUAUUAAGUUUUUAAAAGUAUAUAUAGAACAUGUCUGAAAGACUUGGACGUCAUUCAACAAUUGCUUAUUGCCCCAAUUGCGGUCAACAUGUUAGAACAUUCACUAGUUAUGAAAUUUCUCUAAAGACGCAUUUGCUGGCCUUACUUUUGUGUCUAUGUGGGUGCUGGUUCUGUUCUUGUAUACCUUAUUGCUCAACAUGUGUCCAUGAUAUUGCACACUACUGUACACGAUGUGGGAUGUAUUUGGGUAAUUCAAGUUUUUAAUCAAUAGCUAAUGGAUUUGUAAGAAAUAGCUAUAUUAAUCAGUACACAUAGAAAAAUAUAAGCGAAAUGUAUCUAUUGAAAGUUAUUAUGCCAUAUAUAUACAAAUAAAAUUGAAUUCAUU